rnacentral:rRNA from 1 species
CUACGGGCCGCAGCAGUGGGGAAUAUUGGACAAUGGGGGAAACCCUGAUCCAGCAAUGCCGCGUGUGUGAAGAAGGCCUGCGGGUUGUAAAGCACUUUCGGUUGGGAGGACUGCUUCUAGCACUAAUAUUGUUGGAAGUUGACGUUACCUUCAGAAGAAGCACCGGCUAACUCCGUGCCAGCAGCCGCGGUAACACGGAGGGUGCAAGCGUUAAUCGGAAUUACUGGGCGUAAAGCGCGCGUAGGCGGCUAGAUCAGUCGGGUGUGAAAGCCCCGGGCCUAACCUGGGAACUGCAUCCGAUACUGUCUAGCUUGAGUACAGGAGAGGAGAGUGGAAUUCCACAUGUAGCGGUGAAAUGCGUAGAUAUGUGGAGGAACACCAAUGGCGAAGGCAGCUCUCUGGCCUGAUACUGACGCUGAGGUGCGAAAGCGUGGGGAGCAAACAGGAUUAGAUACCCUCGUAGUC